rnacentral:rRNA from 1 species
AUGACCGGGCCUCUCGGCGCGCGCGGAUCCAGACGCGAAACCAGGAGGGCCCCGCCCCCGCGGCCUAAUUGCUUACCCGGCAGCAGCAGCCACCACGGCCACACACGCACCCGCGCCCGCCGCUCCCCAGAAACAAGCACGGCCGCAGCACAGCCAGCGUUCACUGACCACUGUGCUGCUCAGCUGCCGCCCAGGCACUCUGCUCCCGAGGAACGCGCCAGGCGCCGGCGCCGCCAUGGAAGCCGCGGCGGCGGCCGUGGCGUGCCGAGGAGGCGUGGUGCUCGCGCGGGCACGUCCCGGCCACCGGGCCCGGCGCCACGGCGUAGGCGCGGGACCCGCCACCCGACGGAGGUUCCUCGUUGUGGCGUCGCCCGGAGAAACCCCCUCCGCGCCCUCGCGCAGCGCCGUGGCGAUCGCGCAGGAGGUAAUUUGCUCCGAAAUUCUUGCGCCAGUGCCUCACUGGCUCUGCUCUGCUCUGCUCCCGCGCAAUCACGCCAGCUCUUCUCACAUACGAUAUCCGUCGGCUCGGCGCAGAUCGCGCAGGCUGCCGACGAGGACGUCGCCUCCGUCAGAGUUGUGCUGAUGAUGGCCUUCGGCCCAGCCUCGCCCGCAGUCCCGCCGCCCACCGACGGUCAUGCGAGCACGGUGCGCGUCACGUUCGUGCUGGAGAAGAAGUGCGCGUUCGGGCAGCGGUUCCUGGUCGUCGGCGACGACCCGGCGCUCGGCCUCUGGGACCCGGCCAAGGCGACGGCCCUGGACUGGUCGGAAGGCCACGUCUGGACGGCGAGGGCGGAUCUGCCAGCGAACAGGCUGGUCGAGUUCAAGUUCUUGCUGCAGGACCCCUCCGGCCACGUCCGCUGGCAGCACGGCGGCAACAGGGCUCUGCAGGUAACCGAGGCCUCGAGCGCACUGGUCGUGUACGAAGACUGGGACGACGCCGGGUGCCAGGAAGUGUCGGAGGCGGCAUUACACCUGCCGAUCGGAGCGGAGGGGACCGACGCGCUGCUGCUGGCAGAUGAUGGCCGGACCGAUGUCGACGAUCAGGCGACCUACGAGGGCUUCAUGCAUGCCGAGAAGGCACGUGCGGCUGCAGAAGCUUCUCUGCACGCGGACACGAUGUGGCUAAACGGAGCGAACCGGCCACAGUUUACCUUGCAGAAAGAUGAGAGGAUUCCAGAGGUGCUUCGCAGGAGAGCAAACAUGGCGGCAGCACAAAACGGCGGCCUUGCUUCUGCCGGAAAAGACGGCGACGACAUCAUCUUGUACGAGGAAGAUGCGAACAGGCCGGCCAGUAUGUUCGAAAACGACAUGGUCUGGAUCAGGAAAGCCCUCCAGGGGUUGCUCCGGAACCUUGGCUUCCACAUCGGCACAACAAAAACAUGA